rnacentral:lncRNA from 1 species
UAAAGUAUCCUUUUCAACAAGGCUCUACUUGGCUUCUCACUCUGUGGCCUCUUAAAAUUUCCAGAUUCUGAUGAGUCAGUGUUGGUGCAGAGUUAUGGAAUCCCUGACCUGGAAGAUCUAUUAGACAUCAUCCUAGCAUGCCCAUCUUACAGACUAUGUUACAGUCCUUUGAGAAGUUUUUGUGCCAAUAAAGAUGCACCAUUGCUGGAUGCCUCUGGGAAUAAUGAGACCCCGAAACCAGGAACACAGCCAUCCUCACAUAAUUCAAGGUGUUAUGAAUUUGUUAUUGAUACUGAAGGGACGACUCUGGUAACAUCUGGAGAUCUUCAGUUUCUGAAGAAGACUGGCUUUCCAGAUAACAUGGUGGUUGCAUCUUCUCUAUCCUGUAUUCCCUGAUUCUCCUUCCUUUGAAUAAAUGUGGUGCCAGAUGCUGUGGCAUUCAUCUUCUGAUCAUGAAAUAAUAACACACAUGAAGCAGAAGAAUAACUUUUACGAAACCAUUGUUGAAAUGUCUAUACUACCUGUCUUCAGAUUUCCUCUUAAAAAUUCUGCUGCAUUUUGGGGCUUAACUCCAAUGGAGUCUGUGCACCAUUACAUUCAACAAAGGGAAGAGACAUGAACUAAAUCCCAUGUAUUGAGAAGACCACUUACACCAUCUUACACCAUCUUCAACUGGCA